UAAGGAAUAUUGCUCAAUGGGAGAAAUCCUGAAGCAGCAACGCCGCGUGGAGGAUGAAGGGUCUAUGACUUGUAAACUCCUGUAAAGAAGGAAAAAAUUCCCAUUUGAUGGGAGAUGAUGGUACUUCUGGAGUAAGCCCCGGCUAACUACGUGCCAGCAGCCGCGGUAAUACGUAGGGGGCAAGCGUUGUCCGGAUUUACUGGGUGUAAAGGGGGCUCAGGCGGAUUUGUAAGUCAGAGGUGAAAUCUUACAGCUUAACUGUGAAACUGCCUUUGAUACUGCAAGCCUAGAGUAUGGAAGAGAGUGAUGGAAUAUCUGGUGUAGCAGUGAAAUGCGUAGAUAUCAGAUAGAACACCAAUGGCGAAGGCAGUCACUUGGUCCAUUACUGACGCUAAAGCACGAAAGCGUGGGU
rnacentral:rRNA from 1 species